UCUGGGCAGAGGGAUCCUCCUGAUCCUGUCAUCUCUGAAUAUUCUCUGUCUCAUCAUUUUCAUCAGGAAUCAGGACCCUUUUACCUUCAGGUACUUUGAAGGAGUAGCAUCUUAGCAUGAGUUUGCAGUGGCCUAUCCCAUAAUAAGCUAAUGAUUAACACAAUGGAAUCUGGUACUUCGUGGGAAGAAACUGUCCUGGUACCAACAGUCUGUAUAUGCCACCUAUGAUGGAUGGUUCCACUGUUUAUGAUCAUCAUCUUGGAACCAAAGAAUGGAGCUGCUCUCAUAAGAGGCUGAUGGUUUGGUGUUGCUAAGGAAACCAUGGACUCAAGUGAACUUGCUCAUUAUAACGUAAUUGUAAUAUCAAAACACAACUCCUGGCCUCAGGCUGCUCAUCUCCAAGGCAGGCCACACCUUGGACCUGCCUCCUUAGACACAGACCACACCUCAGUCACUCCUUCUUGAGCACACAUGGAAUCUUUACACUGUGAGGAGCAUGAGGGGCACAAGGAGAAGCGUUUGGUCAUAGAAGAUGUGAAGUUGACUAUAAAGGGAUGGCUCCCUAGCACCAGGUUAGAGCCUCAAGGGAGCUUCAAGCUCAGGAGCUCAAGAUCCCCAAGAACAACAAGAGCUCUGGAGCUCAAGAACUCCAAGAACUCCAAGAAAGAGAGCUUCAAGAGUUUCAGAACACUGAAACUGAGAGCUUUGAGAACUCCAAGAGCUUCUGCUUGAGCUCUCAACUUCAUCUCUGCAUUUUACUACAACAAAAGAAGUCUCUUCCAGCAACAAGAAGGCGGCUGCAUCAAUAAGAAGAACAGGAGGACCAGCAGGGCUGGACUGUGGGACCAGAGAGAUGUCUUUGGGACCUUCUCAUUGUUGGUCCAGAAGCUGAUAAACAAGUUGUUGUCCUGUUGAAGAUCCUGAAAACUGGCUGUGUAAAAAUGGAAUGAAUACUUGCACAUCUAUAUUAUCAUA